CCUUCAUUUUUAAACUUCUUAUCAUGAUCUAUUCUUCCCUUACUAUAUGAAGGUGCAUUGGAAAGCACAUCUACUAUGAUCUCUUCUGUUUUAUAUUAUCUAAUCUAUUACUCAAAUUCUAGUCUAAUCAUCAUCUGUCUAAUUUGUGAAAUGGAGAUCCCUGCUGUCAUCAUAAACAUUGCCGUAAGUAAAUAUGCUAAUAACUAAAUUUAAUCCUUUUGUGUAUUUCAGAUCAUCUGCUAUGGAAUUUUCCGAUGUCCAGCACGUUGUGGUUUUUUCCAUUGCUGCUCAGGUGUGUAUCUAUUCAAUACUUUAUGCCUUGUCGCUGUGUCUCUCCUUUUUCAGGCGCUGCAUCAUCCUUCUGAAGUCGCGGAGUCCUCCUGCUUGUGUUUACGCCAGGUGAAAUAUUACAACGGUGGAUCAAAUUCAAACACGAUGUCAUACAUUUCUCAAUCAACAAAUCAGAUUAUGUGAACUGUAAUAAAGUCUAAUCAUCAUCUGUCUAAUUUGUGAAAUGGAGAUCCCUGCUGUCAUCAUAAACAUUGCCGUAAGUAAAUAUGCUAAUAACUAAAUUUAAUCCUUUUGUGUAUUUCAGAUCAUCUGCUAUGGAAUUUUCCGAUGUCCAGCACGUUGUGGUUUUUUCCAUUGCUGCUCAGGUGUGUAUCUAUUCAAUACUUUAUGCCUUGUCGCUGUGUCUCUCCUUUUUCAGGCGCUGCAUCAUCCUUCUGAAGUCGCGGAGUCCUCCUGCUUGUGUUUACGCCAGGUGAAAUAUUACAACGGUGGAUCAAAUUCAAACACGAUGUCAUACAUUUCUCAAUCAACAAAUCAGAUUAUGUGAACUGUAAUAAAGUCUAAUCAUCAUCUGUCUAAUUUGUGAAAUGGAGAUCCCUGCUGUCAUCAUAAACAUUGCCGUAAGUAAAUAUGCUAAUAACUAAAUUUAAUCCUUUUGUGUAUUUCAGAUCAUCUGCUAUGGAAUUUU